rnacentral:rRNA from 1 species
AAAUGCAAAUUUGAUGUUGACAAGCUUGUUUUCUUGGGCUUUGUUAUGUCAUCUAAGGGUGUUCGUGUAGACGAAGCUAAAAUUGAUGCUAUUAAAACUUGGCCACAACCAACUAACUUGCAACAAGUGCGUAGUUUCCUUGGCUUAGCCGGAUUCAAUCAUCGUUUCCUUACGGACUUUAGCACUAUUGCAUCACCAUUGCAUGCCUUGAGUAAUAAGAAUGCACCAUUUUUUUGGGGACCAUCCCAAGAUACCGCAUUUCAUGAGCUUAAGAAUUUGCUUACACGUGCUCCAUUGCUUGCCUUGCCCAUUUGA